rnacentral:rRNA from 1 species
CAGUCGCCGCGGUAAUACGAAGGGGGCUAGCGUUGUUCGGAAUUGCUGGGCGUAAAGCGCACGUAGGCGGAUAUUUAAGUCAGGGGUGAAAUCCCAGAGCUCAACUCUGGAACUGCCUUUGAUACUGGGUAUCUUGAGUAUGGAAGAGGUGAGUGGAAUUCCGAGUGUAGAGGUGAAAUUCGUAGAUAUUCGGAGGAACACCAGUGGCGAAGGCGGCUCACUGGUCCAUUACCGACGCUGAGGUGCGAAAGCGUGGGGAGCAAACAGGAUUAGAUACCCCCGUAGUCCCUGUCUCUUAUAC